rnacentral:pre_miRNA from 1 species
UCACCUCCAGGCUGCUAGGCCCCAGGCUGGGCUGGGCGAGUGUCUCUUGGAAAGGCCCCCCCUCAAGCACGACCAGGAGC